rnacentral:misc_RNA from 1 species
AGCUGCCACCCCUCCUCCUAGAAUAACAUACACAAAAGCUCUUCCCAUACCCUUCUGUAUCUCUCUCUCAAAUUUUUUCCUUUAAAAACCAGUAAUGGUCUCUUCUUGACCCCAAGAAACUACCACCAUCGUAAGUUUUCAAUCCAUCCCAAGCAUGAUUUCUUUGGCCUGUGGUAGGCUACGCCGUUGUGAUCACAAUAACCUUGUUAAACGACGACGUUUUGUGGAUGUCGAAUAGCAUUAUCCUAAACUUGAUGGGAACCACUAUAGUAUAGAUCAUUAAAGACUUGGCCAUGUUUCACACAAAUGAAGAAUUUAUGGUGGAUAAAUUGAUGGGUUUUCAGCUUUGUUGGGAAAUGGGAAGAAGAGGAUCAAAAGAUAAGAGAAGAGUUUUUAGAUUACAGCACACCUCCUCCAGGCUUCCACUCAAUUGUGG